rnacentral:rRNA from 1 species
CCUACGGGAGGCAGCAGUGGGGAAUAUUGCACAAUGGGGGAAACCCUGAUCCAGCCACGCCGCGUGAGUGAUGAAGGACUUAGGGAUGUAAAGCUCUAUCAGCAGGGAAGAAAAUGACGGUACCGGACGAAGAAGCCCCGGCUAACUACGUGCCAGCAGCCGCGGUAAUACGAAGGGGGCAAGCGUUAUCCGGAAUUACUGGGCGUAAAGGGAGCGUAGACGGAAGCGCAAGUCUGAAGUGAAAAUCCGGG